CCCGCACAAGCAGCGGAGCGUGUGGUUUAAUUCGAUGCAACACGAAAAACCUUACCAGGGCUUGACAUGACGGAAGUAGCAACCUGAAAGGGAAGCCAACUGUUAAGUCAGUAGCCGCCACAGGUGCUGCAUGGCUGUCGUCAGCUCGUGCCGUGAGGCGUUAGGUUAAGUCCUGUAACGAGCGCAACCCUUAUUGCUAGUUAAAUUCUCUAGCGAGACCGCCCGAAAACGGGGAGGAAGGUGGGGAUGACGUCAAGUCAGCAUGGCCCUUAUGCCCUGGGCUACACACACGCUACAAUGGGUGGUACAAUAGGUUGCAAUAGGGUGACUUGGAGCUAAUCCGUAAAGCCAUCCUCAGUACGGACUGCAGGCUGAAACCCGCCUGCACGAAGUCGGAGUUGCUAGUAACCGCAUAUCAGCAUGGUGCGGUGAAUACGUUCUCGGGCCUU
rnacentral:rRNA from 1 species